rfam:Pseudomonas syringae pv. actinidiae ICMP 19096 scaffold1016, whole genome shotgun sequence.
ACACCAGAGCCGUACAGCGCUGUCAUCGACAGCAUUGCCCAGGUAGCCAGGGACCUUUAAGGCUACGCCCUACAGUGGUGGUCCCAGCCCAUGCGCGCUCGCUUCCAAUUAGGCGCGCAGUCACGCCCAACGUGAUCGAAGC